UUAUAUGCCCCUGAGAGUCUUUCUGGUACCAAAAAUUUGAUGUAAUGUAAGGAUCCUUUUCCAUUAAAGAAAAAGUUUAUAAGAUAGUCUUUUCAGACUUUUGAUUUGGGGGUUACCCAUAAUAAAUGUCUAAGCAGAUUAUUAUGAAGAGAAACAACUACAGGUGCAUGCAAAAAUUAGUGCAGUGUUUGUCAGAAAAUAUGAAUGCUCUAGGAUUUUCUAGCAGUCACAUUCAUCAAAGCCCUUUGUCUAUGAUAACAUCGGUUCUAUGUCUAAUUCCUCCCACUGGAAGUACAUUUAGUAGCUGUUUUUCAUGUUCUGUGAAAACUCUUGAAAAUGAAAUGGGUUUCCUGCAGGGCAUUCAUUACAAUGAUGUAAAUCCAGAACAAUUAAUCUGAAGUUGAUGAUGUUACUUCAUAUUUACAUAUCUGUAAUGGAGAAUACAAUCUGGCUCCAUAUGCAUAUGAAACCCCAGUUAAUGUAUAACUGGCAUGGAAAACAAUAAUUUUUAAUGUGACCUUUUAUAAAUUUUCUCAGAUUUUUUUUUAAAGGAAAAAGUGCACUGUGGUCAAGUAGCAGACAGUGGUGCUGUUGAUUCCAGAUUGCAUGUGUAUUACUCAUAGAUCCAGCUGUCUGUCUUCAUUUUCACUCACCUUUGGAGCCACUGGUCCCUCAUACUGAAACAGCAGCAGUUGUACCUGGAGGGGAUACAGGACUUUGUCCAACUUAUUUUUAAUGGCUGGACAUCCGUUCAGACAAGCGAGAAAGCUCUCAAGAGCAGCAACAAUCAAUGAGGUAAGGUGUAUGAAAUUACUAUUUUCUUCCCCGUGUACAGCCAAGCAUUUUUUAUAAUUCAGCAGCCUGGGAACCCAUGUCUGUACCUUUCAGGAAAAUUCCUGUUGACUUGGGUUUGUUCCUGACAGAUACCUUCAGGGCUGGGCCUUGUUACAAUUAAUAAUAUCUUCAGUGCCUAACUCUUGCUUUUGUGUGUCUUUUCUCUUUUCUUAGGAAGGAAAUUGAAUUUGUGUUCAAGUCCUACCGGGUCAAAUGGUUCACAGCAGCUUUUUCUUCUGUUAUCACAGCUCCUCUACCAACUAGAAAAAGACUGGGAGCAAAUCUUGGUCUUGGAAGAUUAAAUACUCUUUGAUGAUAACAGAGGUUGAAGAACUGAUCCUCAAAGCUGAUUUGUGAUGAAUGGCUUGAUAAUUGGCUACUUCCUACACACUGCAUUUCUCCAAAACUAUUCUGUUAUUUAAGAAGUUGAUAAUCUCCAAACUAUUCCUAUUUUUUUCUUAUGAUACUGAAUUCUUUUCUAUAAACCAAGUCAGCGCUGAGGAAAGAAGUCAAGAUUUUAUUUUCCUUUUUUUUUUUUUUUUCUUUAAUGACUUUUAUACCAGCAUGUUGCUGAGGUUUUAAAAUAAAUAUAUUUGUUAUUAGCACU